rnacentral:rRNA from 1 species
GAUGAACGCUGGCGGCGUGCCUAAUACAUGCAAGUCGAGCGAACAGACGAGGAGCUUGCUCCUCUGACGUUAGCGGCGGACGGGUGAGUAACACGUGGAUAACCUACCUAUAAGACUGGGAUAACUUCGGGAAACCGGAGCUAAUACCGGAUAAUAUAUUGAACCGCAUGGUUCAAUAGUGAAAGACGGUUUUGCUGUCACUUAUAGAUGGAUCCGCGCCGCAUUAGCUAGUUGGUAAGGUAACGGCUUACCAAGGCGACGAUGCGUAGCCGACCUGAGAGGGUGAUCGGCCACACUGGAACUGGGACACGGUCCAGACUCCUACGGGAGGCAGCAGUAGGGAAUCUUCCGCAAUGGGCGAAAGCCUGACGGAGCAACGCCGCGUGAGUGAUGAAGGUCUUCGGAUCGUAAAACUCUGUUAUUAGGGAAGAACAAAUGUGUAAGUACCUAUGCACGUCUUGACGGUACCUAAUCAGAAAGCCACGGCUAACUACGUG